GAUGAACGCUGGCGGCGUGCCUAACACAUGCAAGUCGAACGGAGUCCAGCCUUUAAGACCUUCGGGUCAAAGAGGGGAAGACUGAGUGGCGGACGGGUGAGUAACACGUGGGCAACCUGGCUCAUAGAGGGGGAUAACAGAGAGAAAUUUCUGCUAAUACCGCAUAAGCACACACUGCCGCAUGGCAGAGGGUGAAAAGAGAAUCGCUAUGAGAUGGACCCGCGUCUGAUUAGCCAGUUGGCAGGGUAAGAGCCUACCAAAGCGACGAUCAGUAGCCGAUCUGAGAGGAUGAACGGCCACAUUGGGACUGAGACACGGCCCAAACUCCUACGGGAGGCAGCAGUGGGGGAUAUUGCACAAUGGGGGGAACCCUGAUGCAGCGACGCCGCGUGAGUGAAGAAGUAUUUCGGUAUGUAAAGCUCUAUCAGCAGGGAAGAUAAUGACAGUGCCUGAAUAAGAAGCCCCGGCUAACUACGUG
rnacentral:rRNA from 1 species